UCUCUCUUCUUUGAAGGGUUAAAAUGAAAAUUCUUGUUGUUCUCUUAUUUAUCUCAUGUUUCCAUUUCUAGUAAUGAAUAACAAAUAAAUUACAUUAACAAGUUCCUCAAUAUGAAAUAUAGAAAUCCUAAAAAUUUACAUACUAGCAUUUAAAAUGAACAUCAUCAUAAAGACAAUGUCAAUAUCCAUUUAUUAUUUAGAUUCAUCAUGAUCAUCAAUCUGACAUGCUAAAUUUGAUUCAACAUCAUUCUUAUUUUUAGUUCCUACAUUUUCUCCCUUCCAUUUGAUGGAAUCUUGAUAGAGUUUAAUUAAAUGUUUAGGCAUACGAUAGAUAUGCAACCAAUGGCCUUCAAUAACAUAAGUUAUUUGCACUCCUUGAAGGGUGUGUUGUAGGCCAAUUUUGGCCCGUUUACAAAAUACCCAGGCCCAUUAAACCAUUUAACCCAUCCUCAAACCCAAAACCUAAAAUUAACCUAGCCCAACAUUCAAGCCCAAUCCCAAAACCCUAAACUCCCACUUGCCUCUUCCCACUCUCCCAUGCUGUCUGCCACCAGCACCACUCCCACUCUCCCAUGCUGUCUGCCACCAGCACCAUCACACACCCCACCGUCCAUGCCCAUGCCCUGCAAACAAGCAAAACAGAAGCAAGAAUAGAAAAUAAUAAUAAAGUAUGUAAAAAUUAGGCCAUAUAAAAGCCACCCAAACAACAAACGAAAAGGGGGAGGAUGUACAAAAAGUUUGUAUCAAAAACAAAAGAAAAAAGAAAAGCUUAGAAGAAUCAAGGAAGAAAAGAGUCUUACCGGAUCUACCCCGUGGCCGCUCCCCUCUCCGUUCGGCACGGUGAACCGCCGGCGAUGAUGGGUGUUGAAACCUUAACUGAAGAAAGGAGGAAGAGAUAAAAGGGGGGGUUUGAGAGCAGUUUUUCAGAAAAAAAU
rnacentral:lncRNA from 1 species